ensembl:processed_transcript
AGACAUGUAACUUAACGUACUCCAGAGACGCACUCACUUGCACAGCAUUGAAUGGAAAAGGCUUUGUCCAUGUUUUCUGGAAGCUCCAUUUGAGGGCAUCAAGGACAUACUGAUGGCCUAAACCAGUGUCAGCCUAGACAGACAGACAUCUAUUGCAGUUCUGCUACACAAGACCAAACUCUCUGCUUUUGUAUGGAUGUCUGACUAGUACAGUGUUCUCUAAAGGUAUAACUGGAGCAAAACAACAGCAUCCGUUACAGUGAAAUUUGUGUUCAUAAAAGAUAGUGAUAUAUGUGUAACAGGUCCAGUACAUUUGUCAUAAAGGUUAAAUCACAGUAAGUACUGUAAAAAUAACUUGUUUGCCUCUGCCACAACAGGUCAUGGUGUGUGCAUACUGCUCGUAGUAAACACACACGCUGAUCUGAUGCGGGAGAGAUAUACGCAAACACAUUUGUAUUUACUGUUUUGUUUUGCCUCACUAAAGUGUUGUUGGAGCUUGGUAUGUUCACAGUUGAAAUCACUGAAGUCACAUGGAACGUUUUGACAAUGUGUUUUGUGCCUUAUCUUGACAAUUGGGACCAUUGCUGUCUGUAGAGGAUGAG